ensembl:rRNA 5S_rRNA 5S ribosomal RNA
AUCUAUAGUCAUACCACCCCGAAUGCACCUGAUCUCGUCUGAUCUCGGAAGUUAAGCAGAGUCAGGCCUGGUUAGUACUUGGGAAAUAUUUAUC